CAGUAGCCGCGGUAAUACGUAUGUCACAAGCGUUAUCCGGAUUUAUUGGGCGUAAAGCGAGCGCAGGCGGUUAGAUAAGUCUGAAGUUAAAGGCUGUGGCUUAACCAUAGUAUGCUUUGGAAACUGUUUAACUUGAGUGCAGAAGGGGAGAGUGGAAUUCCAUGUGUAGCGGUGAAAUGCGUAGAUAUAUGGAGGAACACCGGUGGCGAAAGCGGCUCUCUGGUCUGUAACUGACGCUGAGGCUCGAAAGCGUGGGGAGCAAACAGGAUUAGAGACCCCAGUAGUCCCUGUCUCUUAUACA
rnacentral:rRNA from 1 species